rnacentral:misc_RNA from 1 species
ACAUAUUGUAUCUUGUAGUCCGUGCUGCAGCUGGCUAUAAAUUUAUAGCCCACUGCUUUUCUCUUACAUUUUUAUCUUCUCGAUAUGUGUUUAUAGUUGGCUUAGAGCAGGUACAAUAGCAUACUAUUAGCCAGCUAUAAGCAUAUUUUAAUGAGAUAAAAGAUGAGAGAGAAGAGCAGCGGGCUACAGAUCUGUAGCCAGCUGCAGCACGGACUCCAAGACGCAGUGUGUGC